GCCUGGCUGGCUCAGUUGGUUAGAGCAUGUGACUCUUGAUCUCAGGGUCAUGAGUUCGAGCCCCAUGUUGGGUA